UCCCUCCCUCCUCCCUCCACCCCUCCCUCCCUCACGCGGAGAUGAGGAGAGAAGUUUCCCCGCGGCUCGGUACAGUGAACAUUUACUGUAUUUCAUUUGGGGAACAGCAACAAGAGCCUCCGGAGAAGCUUUCCAGGGAACGCUGAGGAAUAUCUGACAGCACAGAAAGCACCACUCCCAGCUGAGUUUUUUUCCUCUUUUUAAAAAGAAAAAAACAAAACAAACAAAUAUAUAUAUAUAUAUAUAUAUAUCGUCACUUAUCAUUGAUGUCGCUAAACUAGUGGGAAGCACGGGUCAGUAGGACAGCGGCCGCACGCGGACAGUUGUCUGUCGGAGGGCGCCUUUUAAUUUUUGGGUCCUGGAGAAGCAAAACAGAGCGACACAGAAGCGAAAGACGAGAGAAGAAGACGGUCCGAGUGAAAGUGAAAAGAGAGUCCGGCUCAGGAUGAAUAGCAACAAAAUCGAGAAAGAAAACGAGCAGAGCGAAUUCACCAACCACGAAGAGGAGGUCCGAACGCUAUUUGUCAGUGGGCUACCACUGGAUAUUAAGCCGCGGGAGCUCUAUCUCCUGUUCAGACCAUUUAAGGGCUAUGAAGGCUCCUUGAUAAAACUCACUUCUAAACAGCCAGUGGGGUUUGUCAGCUUUGACAGUCGAUCAGAGGCGGAGGCUGCUAAGAAUGCCUUGAACGGGGUCAGGUUUGAUCCAGAAAUCCCCCAGACCCUGCGGCUGGAGUUCGCCAAGGCCAACACCAAGAUGGCCAAGAACAAGCUGGUUGGCACUCCCAACCCCCCUCCCUCCCAGCAGAGCCCCGGGCCACAGUUCAUCAGCAGAGACCCAUAUUCGCUGGCUCCCACCUGCAGAUGGAACUCCUCAGGGAUGGAAGUCCAGGCAGUUCUGCUGAAGUACGUGUUCUUGAUGUGUGAUGGUGGCCGUGGCCGGCUGUGACGGGCGUUGCUGAUUGCCUCUCAUGUCCAAUUACAAAACCAGGACGACUGACCUGACUCCAGCUCUUGGAGCAGCGUACCGUCGGCAGCAGCAGCCUCAUGGGCCUCAGGACAUACUAGACCCCAGCCUCCAUCACACAUCGAGCCCCCACCCCCACCAUCCCCAAACUCCCUCCAACUCUUUUUUUUAUACUGUUACAUACUCAAGAUUUACUGGCAGUGCUUUGGCCACACCUCCUCUGACACCUCCAUGAAAGGUACCGGACAUGCAUGACAAAGGCGCACACACCCUCUGUGUACCAGUGGACUGCAUCGCCUGUCUAACAUUAGCAGGUCUCUUGCUUUGCAUUCUGUAUAUGCAAGUGUAAAGACAACCCACCAGAGGAGUGCAAACACAUUUUAUGCAGCCACUUUGCAAGGCCAGAUGUAUGGAAGUGUGGCUAAAGCACUGCUGGCUAAUGUUAUUAUAUUACUAUAAUUAUUACUAUUCUGUAUAUCAUUCAUAUUAAUGUUAUUAUGAUUAUUAAAUACAUGUUGAAGCAUGACUUUGCAAAAAAAAAGAAAAAAAACAAUGCUGUACAUUUUUAGAUAUUUUAAAGAAAUACAAAAAUGUAUUUUUGUAAUCAAGACAAUGUUUGAAAUGGUUCUGUUUGAUUGGUUUAUGUUGUGCUAAAGUGUGUGAGGAACUUUCAUAUAUUUUUAUUUUUUUUCCCCCUCUCUGUUUUGUGCCAUUAUAAAAUGGUAAGUCACCCUGCUAUACCAAAGCAGUCCUGUCGGUUUGCUCUUGUCUUUUCUACAUACUGUGGUUAGGUUUCCUCAUGUGUGUGUGUCUUUGUGCGGCGUCUUUACCUGAAGAAGCAGACGUAUUAGUCCGUUGUCUGGUGUGCUUUUGUUCGCCUGAGCAGCCGAUGCUAACACUGAGUGACAAGAACACUCCUGAUCCAGCUCGUAGUUCUGCCGUUUGAGGUAAUCAGAUGUGUUAGAAGAGGCACUGACAGGAAUAAGCCAUCAGUGGUGAAGGUAGAGUGACCCCAGAGACUGCAAUGCAUGGCAAACCGAGCUGUGCUAUAAUUAGUAAUUUGCCCCUUCAUUGUGUAGCAGGAGAACAGCAGCACAUUAUAGAGAAACAAAAGACCAAAGGCAUUUUUUUUUACACUGGAGAGCUAUCAAGGCUAGUGGAGUUAUUCCAUUUUUGACAGCUUUGUAGUCCUCAAUCUGAUUUCUUAUGAAGUAUGACUUUAUUUUUGCUGCACGUCUCUUUUGGUGUCACUCAAAAGAGCCACUCUGCAUCUGAAAGGAUAUUCACUUUAAGCAAUUUGUCUGUUUUGCCUAUUUUUAGGGAGCCAAUGUGAUUCAACCUGCUUUUGUAAAUUUUGAAUUUACAUAGUAAUGAUUGGAGCGGGGAAGAAAAAACAAAAAUCUUUUAUAAUCCUGUGUGUUCUGGGCCUGCAAUAAUGCCUUUGCUGUAUGACAUAUCAUCGAAUGGUAAUACUUCUGUGACAUUGUGACGCCAAAAUUCUCACUCAUGUCACACAUGUACAAAAACAAGCCGUGAUUGUUGUACUUUUCUGAUGAGGCUAAGUCACAUUUCACAGUGAUGUGACGGUCGAAAACUCAAAUAAGAAAACAGCAAUCUUCCCUGUAAUGUUUCGCCCAGAUGUUGUACAAUCAUAUUGGACCGGUUGAAUCAUAUAGUCAGUGUUUGUAAUGAAUAAAUAAUAUGCACGCACAUCAUAUCGACUGAUUUUCUGAAGCAAUUUUUGCUUUUACAGACAUUUUUUUAAGCCAAAAUGUGGCAUCAGAUUUAUUAGAACAAGUAUUUAUAAGGUGUGUGUGUGUUUGUGUAUUUUUUUUAUGGGUACUAUGUUUUUAAAGUUCAUAGACGAUGCCCAUCAUAUAUUUCAUUGUAAGUAUUAUUGUAAGUUUAAUUGUAUAUUCAUUUGGUAAUUUUUCUAGAGCUUCUUUUUGUGUUUGUAUCUGACUGAUUGGAACAUACUGUAUGUGAUAUAUGAAUACUGUUUUAUCUACAUAAUUCACUGUGAAAUCCAGACAAAAACAUGCUCUUUGAACGAAUGGAUCUUUUUGUUUUUUGUCAGCAGUACGGUACAGAAGUUCCUAGAAAUGAAUAUGAUGAUCCCUCCCUUUUGUCGAUGAAAAAUACUCCUUUCUUGUUUCAGUAUACCGUGUGCGUACCUGUGUGUUCUGUGCAUGUUCACGGCAUGUGUGUGUUCUUCUUUUCUUUUUCUUAAUGCAUACAGUACUGUUGAUAUUUAUGUACUUUAGCCGCUGUAAGGAGAAACUGUAUUUCGGUGAAUUGCAGAGGUGUGUUUGUUUGAAACCAAAAAAAGGUGAUCAAAAUGAGAAGUUUUUAUGAAAAUGUUAAAUGAAGACAUUUCAGGCCAUCUGCCAUUAAAGAUUGACGUCAUCCUUGCUG